rnacentral:rRNA from 1 species
GUGGGGAAUAUUGCGCAAUGGGGGAAACCCUGACGCAGCGACGCCGUGUGAGGGAAGAAGGCUUUCGGGUCGUAAACCUCUGUCAGAAAGGAAGAACCUCCCAAGUCCGAAUAGGGCUUGGGACUGACGGUACUUUCAAAGGAAGCACCGGCUAACUCCGUGCCAGCAGCCGCGGUAAUACGGAGGGUGCAAGCGUUAAUCGGAAUCACUGGGCGUAAAGCGCGCGUAGGCCGCUUUGUAAGUCGGACGUGAAAGCCCUCGGCUCAACCGAGGGACUGCGUUCUAUAGUGCGAGGCUUGAGUCAUGGAGAGGGUGGCGGAAUUCCGGGUGUAGGAGUGAAAUCCGUAGAUAUCCGGAGGAACACCGGUGGCGAAGGCGGCCACCUGGACAGGUACUGACGCUGAGGCGCGAAAGCGUGGGGAGCAAACAGGAUUAGAAACCCGUGUAGUCC